rnacentral:lncRNA from 1 species
UCAUGCUAAAAUUCUCCAUAUAGUCAAACAUAUAACUAUAGAAAAAUGCAAUGGGAUGUGUAGAAAUGUUGCACAUUAUAAAUGAAUUUGAUUAGACUCAUGUGAAAAAAGGCAUGCACUUACAGGUUACGUCCAUCCUUGUAGAAACGUCGACCUUCAAAGUUCUUGGUUGGGUACUUAACAGCAUGCCAUUGGUUAAUUCCUUUAGUUAGGAGAAUAUGGCUAGCAUUCGCCAUGAUGCAACACUCCCCUUGAGUUGGCUCUCGUAUUCUGAAUAGUUACAAAUGACUGCAAUAGUUAUACAACAAUUGAUAUCAUAAGUUUGAGAUUAAAAGAGAAAACUUACUCCCAUCAUCCUUAAUAAAAUUCUGUAAUUCACCUAAUGCAGAGUUCUUCACCUAUGCAUUAAAUUAAAUAAUUGAGAACAACUCCACUAAGACAUCAAUCAGUUAGUAUAAUUAUAUUUUCUUUCCUACACCUGUCCUUGAUUAAAAACUCAGAUGGUGACAACUGCAGGGCUGUGAGUACUGUCUGCAAGUUUCUUGCAACAAACUUUAACAUAGGAAGUGAAUUUAAGAGUUAGACUUACCUUGACGGCUUGAGAUAGAACCCUCAAUAGUGUAUCCGAUACACGCCUUAGGAUCUUGAUAGGAUGUUGGGGUAAUUAUUUGAAAGAAAAACCUGGAGUGAGCCAAUGAUGUAGAGUGUUUAAUUAUAAGGAGGAAGGUGUGUGUUUAUAACUUUAUAUUAUUUUAAUUUGCGGUUUUGUUCACUAUUAAUGCAAAUGAAAAUAGGUUGUCAUUUCUUGCCCUACAUUAUGCGUGUAUUGAUCUCCUUUGAUGAGUUUAUUUCAAUGUAUGAAUUUGUAUCUGCUCACCCAUUUGGCACCCAAAAUACUUUUGUUUUAGUAGGGUAAAUCCAGGCAUUGAUCUUGUUUGUUGUAAAGUUUAUGUAGACAUGUGAAUAUAUCUUUGCUCACUCUGUUGGGACACAAUUACAUCCAAAGUGGCAGUCAACUCUAGGUCGAUAGGUCAAAUAAAGAAGUAGAGGAGCAGGGUGAAUGAGCAUUACUAAUGGUAUAAUGGAAACUAAUCUUUCAACCAACCAAAUUUUCAAUAAAACUAUAGCAAUAGUCAUCAAUCUAAUGAUUGUUACGGAUGUCAAGACAUGGUUUUGCCAUUGUACCAAGUGGAAUCUCUUCUCAAUUUCUUUUUAUCAUAAACAAUAUCUUGUCUCAAAUUGGACGAUGGAAAGACAUGCAUGGUUUUGUCAUUGUACUGGUAUCUUUGGCAAGACAUGGUUAUGUUAUUGUAUUGUUACCUUUAUGUAAUAUGCUCGUAACUGUUACUUCUUUUUUUUUUUUUGGCUAAUACAAAAGACCCUUUCCGAGCAAAAAAACUUAUUGUUAAGCCAGUCAUCUCUGUGAAUUGUACUUUUAUAUAAUAGUAUAUGACAGCAAUUGAAGAGGACAACAUAAUGAAAGACUUAACCACAUAUAUUGUGAUGGGGCAAAGAGGGAUGCAGGCUUUCGCAAUGUGGGUGGCGUCAUUUUAACACUACUCGACCACACUACAGAGUUAGUUCCGCUUUGUAUAACCCACCAAGAAUUUUGUAUUUCUAUUCCAUUUUCCUGCUCUCCAAGCUAAACAUCUAAACUUGGCGAAUCUAACAAAUUGUAGUUCUAGGGUUAUAGUUUUGAGCAACAAUUUAUAGCCUUGGAAAACAUAAUAACAACAACAUACGAAUUGUGAAUUUGUGAUCAGAGUAGCAGAGUUAGUUGAUUAGAUUAACAUGUUAACGAAAUCAUCAAACGCCAGUUUACAAAAUAUAGCAUGGUCAAAAGAAAUUAACAGAUUAUAGAUUCAGUUAAGACAAAGAAUUUGUACCUCACAAAUCAUGGAGAUUGAUAUUGUCUAGAAGGCUUGGUAUUUGAUCCAGAAGCUAUUCUAAUGAAGGAAGAUGAUCGUUUUAAUAGUUGAUUGAGAGAUUUAUUGAGUAGAUUUGAUCGAGCAGGUGGAGCCGUGGGGGACGAUAGAGAGAGAGGGGGGGGGGGGGAGAGAGAGAGAGAUUUGUUGCAGUAAGAGAAGAGAUAGUAUUGUUUUGAU